rnacentral:rRNA from 1 species
AUUGAACGCUGGCGGCAGGCCUAACACAUGCAAGUCGAGCGGAUGAAGGGAGCUUGCUCCUGGAUUCAGCGGCGGACGGGUGAGUAAUGCCUAGGAAUCUGCCUGGUAGUGGGGGAUAACGUCCGGAAACGGGCGCUAAUACCGCAUACGUCCUGAGGGAGAAAGUGGGGGAUCUUCGGACCUCACGCUAUCAGAUGAGCCUAGGUCGGAUUAGCUAGUUGGUGGGGUAAAGGCCUACCAAGGCGACGAUCCGUAACUGGUCUGAGAGGAUGAUCAGUCACACUGGAACUGAGACACGGUCCAGACUCCUACGGGAGGCAGCAGUGGGGAAUAUUGGACAAGGGGCGAAAGCCUGAUCCAGCCAUGCCGCGUGUGUGAAGAAGGUCUUCGGAUUGUAAAGCACUUUAAGUUGGGAGGAAGGGCAGUAAGUUAAUACCUUGCUGUUUUGACGUUACCAACAGAAUAAGCACCGGCUAACUUCG